rnacentral:lncRNA from 1 species
AUGUGACGCUGCGAAGUGCACCUCCCUUUCUCAAAUCGGAGGGAUCUGGUCCUCACUGCACAGCCCGCUGCGCAUGUCGGUGUCCUCUCACAUACACACCCGCGGGGGGUUUCCAGAGCAUCGCGCCUCUUCCAGCCCAGGGAGCCGUCUGCUAUGCUAAACUCUAUGGGAACUGAGACAUCCACCUGCUGCGUGGCCCACCCGUGCGCAACUUCAGAGCUUCAGGGGGUGAUGCGGGCUGUGGCUCCUCCUUGAAAAUGUCACCCUCUACAGCUCCUUUCUUGUGAUAUAGAAGUUGACUC